UGCCAGCCGCCGCGGUAAUACGGAGGGUGCAAGCGUUAAUCGGAAUUACUGGGCGUAAAGGGCGCGUAGGUGGCCAGAUUAGUCGGGUGUGAAAGCCCCGGGCUCAACUCGGGAAUUGCAUUCGAUACUGUCUGGCUAGAGUGCAGUAGAGGGAAGCGGAAUUCCGGGUGUAGCGGUGAAAUGCGUAGAUAUCCGGAGGAACACCGGUGGCGAAGGCGACUUCCUGGGCCAAUACUGACGCUGAGGCGCGAAAGCGUGGGUAGCAAACAGGAUUAGAUA
rnacentral:rRNA from 1 species